GCCACAUCACGUUGAAACAUCGGUUCCUGUACAAUCACCGAAGUUAAGCAACAUCGAGUUUGGUCAGUACCUAGAUGAAUGACCUCUUGGGAAUACUAGGUGAAG